rnacentral:lncRNA from 1 species
UCCUAUGUUUGGUUCAUGGUAUUGCUAAUACCAUUGUAAUCGGUUACUGACUUAAUCGGUGGAUUUCACCGAUUUGUAAUCCUUCCAUUUUGCCCAGAUUAAGCGCCGCAUAGGUUUACCAUCCCUGUUAUACCCUCCCAUCUGCUUCCCCUUUGUUUCUCUUCUGUUCCUUGUUGCCUCUGCCGAUUUGCUCCCUUCCAUUUCUUUUCUUUUCUUUUCUGCCCUCUGUUUAUUUUCUUUUCUUUUCUAUCGAUUUGCUCCCUUUGUUUCUUCUCAUUUUCUUUUCUGCCGAUUUCCGAUUUAGUGCAACAGAAAG